rnacentral:rRNA from 1 species
UACGUAGGGUGCGAGCGUUAAUCGGAAUUACUGGGCGUAAAGUGUGCGCAGGCGGCCGCGCAAGUUGGGUGUGAAAGCCCCGGGCUUAACUUGGGAAUUGCGCUGGAAACUACGUGGCUGGAGUGUGGCAGAGGAAGGUGGAAUUCCACGUGUAGCGGUGAAAUGCGUAGAGAUGUGGAGGAACACCAAUGGCGAAGGCAGCCUUCUGGGCCAACACUGACGCUCAUGCACGAAAGCGUGGGGAGCAAACAGG